CUUCUGGAUUUUAAAAUUUAUUCUUAUAGAGAAAGCUUAAUGUUUCAUGCAGAGUGACUCCUGUCCUAGCAGAAACCACUGUUACUUAGCAUUUAGCACUAAGAUAUUAUAGAAAGGUACCUUUUUCUCUUUAGUGCUAUUGUGAAAAAUGAAGCAUAAUUUGCUAUGUAUUUUUAUUUUCAUCUUCUCAGUGUUGACUUAAACCAUUGCAAUGAGAAACUAAAAUCUGUAUGUAGAAAGCUGUAGAUUGCACUUUGAUGACUCACAAGUUAAAUGUGACAGAGAUAGAUUGGUUUAGUAGUUUUGUGAUGCACUUAUCUUAUUCUUUUUUUUCUAACUAAAUUGUUACCUGUUAUAGAAAGCCAUUUUGGCUUUGUCUGAUGAUUCAACAUUCCCUAGACCUUUUGGAAUUGAUGAUGAUUCUUUUUCUUUCUUGCUCAUUUGGCAACAUCAGACAUUGGGGAUCUAUUUCCCCCAACGUACAUAUUCUAAUUUGAUUAGCACAGUACAGUAAACACCAUUGCCAAAAUAGAGUUUCCAUGUCCUUCUUGUUGAUUUGGGCAUUGGUGGUGAGUAUAUUUAACUGUGAGAAUUCACUUUUACUUUUUUUAAAUUUAGGUUUCAUUACAAAAUUUUCUAUUUAAGCAAGGAACAAUAUAAUACUCGAUACUGACCUAACACACCUUUGUGAAAGGGUUUGCACUUGUAAGAGAGCUUAUGUUCUACCUAGACCAACCUUAAUAGGGUCUUCACCUUUCCAUUAAGGAGGUGCUGCACUACAAGUCUGGAAACUAUAUAGAAAAUUUUUAAAUUAACCCUCUGCUGGUA
rnacentral:lncRNA from 1 species